CGGGGUCAAGGCCUGUGAAGGCAAAAGACCUCAACAUAUGAAAUACAAUAGGUAGUCUCCUGCUUUCAAGAACAUCAACAUAAUAAUUUCCAUCAAGACGUGGCAGGAGAUUUAGUAAACACA